rnacentral:rRNA from 1 species
AGCCCAGACUCCUACGGGAGGCAGCAGUGGGGAAUAUUGCACAAUGGGCGAAAGUCUGAUGCAGCAACGCCGCGUGAACGAAGAAGGCUCUUGGGUCGUAAAGUUCUGUUCUGAGGGAAGAAGAAAGUGACGGUACCUCAGGAGAAAGCCCCGGCUAACUACGUGCCAGCAGCCGCGGUAAUACGUAGGGGGCAAGCGUUAUCCGGAUUUACUGGGUGUAAAGGGAGCGUAGACGGCAUGGCAAGUCAGAUGUGAAAGCCCGGGGCUCAACCCCGGGACUGCAUUUGAAACUGUCAGGCUGGAGUGCAGGAGAGGUAAGUGGAAUUCCUAGUGUAGCGGUGAAAUGCGUAGAUAUUAGGAAGAACACCAGUGGCGAAGGCGGCUUUCUGGACUGAAACUGACGCUGAGGCACGAAAGCGUGGGGAGCGAACAGGAUUAGAUACCCCAGUA